GGCUUCGUGGUCAAAUGGUAAGGACACUUGCCUCUCACUUUGGAGUCCUGGGUUCAAUCCCCGGUCGAGGAGCUA